rnacentral:rRNA from 1 species
UGCCAGCCGCCGCGGUAAUACGGAGGGUACGAACGUUAAUCGGAAUUACUGGGCGUAAAGCGCGCGUAGGCGGUUUGAUAAGUGGGAUGUGAAAGCCCCGGGCUCAACCUGGGAACUGCAUUCCAAACUGUCAAACUAGAGUGUGGUAGAGGGAGGUAGAAUUUCCUGUGUAGCGGUGAAAUGCGUAGAUAUAGGAAGGAAUACCGAUGGCGAAGGCAGCCUCCUGGACCAACACUGACGCUGAGGUGCGAAAGCGUGGGGAGCAAACAGGAUUAGAUA